AACGAACGCUGGCGGCAUGCCUAACACAUGCAAGUCGUGCGAGAAAGUUCCUUCGGGAGCGAGUAAAGCGGCGCACGGGUGAGGAAUACAUGGGUAAUCUGCCCUCGAGCUCGGGAUAACCAGUCGAAAGACUGGCUAAUACCGGAUAUGACCACAAGAUCUGAGGAAUCAAGGGGUAAAAGGUUUUUCGCUUGAGGAUGAGCCCAUGUGGGAUUAGCUAGUUGGUGUAGGUAACGGCUCACCAAGGCGACGAUCCCUAACUGGUCUUAGAGGAUGAUCAGUCACACUGGAACUGAGACACGGUCCAGACUCCUACGGGAGGCAGGCAGUAGGGAAUAUUGCACAAUGGAGGAAACUCUGAUGCAGCGACGCCGCGUGAGUGAUGAAGGCCUUCGGGUCGUAAAGCUCUGUCGUAUGGGACGUAACAAAAUAGAAGGUACCAUGCAAGAAAGGAU
rnacentral:rRNA from 1 species